UCCACUGUAUACAAACCUCUUUUCCCCAAAUUGCUUUAGCCUUUAGAAAACAGCAGCAAUACCAAGAACGCGCCUCACGCGCGGAGAAAAACCAAAGGGAGAUCGAGAGUGCUCUCUCCCGGCCGAACACCGCCGGCUCACCUGCUGCUGUGUUCUGGUCCGGGAGAGGAUGACAACAUGGGCUAGCGACAGGUUCUAGGGCGGAGGCCUGGCUUAGGGAUGGAGGAGGGCGGCGCGAUCUCGGACGAAGAAGACCGAUCUGGACUCUUUCUUCUUGGAUCGUGGGUGACUUCCGACAUGGAGCAUCGGCGAGGUGCGAUUUGCCGGCGGGGCACGUUUUUCAGGCUGCUUCUGGCGUCACGGGUGCUUAUGAGAGCUUGGAGAUGGCUGGGUUCUCGAUCUCAUGGCAGAGGCGAGCCCAGAUGGGAUCCGAUUCCUUAUGGAAUUUGAUCUAGAACGAUGGCCAGGUUCUGGUGUGGGCGACUUUGUGGUGCGACGGUGUUGCGGCGUUGGGAUGCGAUGCAGCCGCGGGGCAGUGCAAGGUGGAGAGAUGGCGGGGUGUUAUUUUGGUUAUGUAGAGUGUAUCUGGAAAAACGUAUUUGCUUCCACAAUUGCAGCUAAUCAGCUAUAUCUCAAAGUUGAGCCACCCCCAACAGCUAAUGGCAGGAAAUUUGGUGGGAAUCCAGUCAUGGCAGUGUUUUACCUGGAGGACAAGUUUGCUCAUGGUGACUAUGACGCUAGUUGCUAGCCCUUUUGUAUUAUUAACUUCAGAUUAUCGAGAUCGUGCUCCUGGAGUUCCUUCAAGGCCUCAAACCCCAGCAGCCAACAGAGAUUUUUGAGUUGGUUUUAGAGAUUUUUGUGUGCAGGGAAGAAAAAGAAGAGACAUAUUCAUUGCCACCAAACCCUCCAUAUAGUAGAAUCCUUAGAUCUGGCUCCUUAUGACAAGCAAGCAACUUCUGAACAGAAUUCUCUCAAGGAAAUGAAAAAUCAAUAUUUGAUAUACACUGGUACGUUUCUGCGUGCUUUCUUGGGUUUGUGUGAAUAUUCGAUAUAGCAUUGAGGGCUCAAAUUGAACAAGCUCAGAUCCAGAGUUCGGAGACGGAAGCAAAACCGGGUUGAGUUUUAACUUCUUGGUUACUACCACUGGCUUUACUUGCACCAGAUGUGCUAUACGAAACUAACUAAUGACUUCUUUCCAUACUUAAAAUACUUGCUGCUGAAACUUGUUAGAUAUUCUACGUACUAAUAUUAGGCUUCAGACUCAGAUCACAUGCUCAACUUAAGUUGCUAGUAGCUGCUGGCAUGUUUAAAUGUUAAAGUUUAUAACAGGGCAGAGUUAUACCGGUAGUUGCUUCAAAUAUAGUUAUUUGUUCAGAUUCAUGGCUCGUGGUGGUGACUGAAGAUAUAUAUUGAAGAUGAAGCCAAGUAUGUAUGUCUAUUGUCAUCUAGAAUUAGAUAAGAUUAGAAUGUACGUUUAACUAGGAAUUAGUUUCUAGAAGUGCUUGUAGUCAAGUAUAUUGUAACGAGUAAUAGAUACAAUGACGUUCUGGGAUUGUAAAGAUUGUUUGUAUGUAAAUGUCUUCUUUUUGUUUCAAGGACAUUUUUUU